rnacentral:rRNA from 1 species
AUUGAACGCUGGCGGCAGGCCUAACACAUGCAAGUCGAGCGGAUGACGGGAGCUUGCUCCUUGAUUCAGCGGCGGACGGGUGAGUAAUGCCUAGGAAUCUGCCUGGUAGUGGGGGACAACGUUUCGAAAGGAACGCUAAUACCGCAUACGUCCUACGGGAGAAAGCAGGGGACCUUCGGGCCUUGCGCUAUCAGAUGAGCCUAGGUCGGAUUAGCUAGUUGGUGGGGUAAUGGCUCACCAAGGCGACGAUCCGUAACUGGUCUGAGAGGAUGAUCAGUCACACUGGAACUGAGACACGGUCCAGACUCCUACGGGAGGCAGCAGUGGGGAAUAUUGGACAAUGGGCGAAAGCCUGAUCCAGCCAUGCCGCGUGUGUGAAGAAGGUCUUCGGAUUGUAAAGCACUUUAAGUUGGGAGGAAGGGCAGUAAGUUAAUACCUUGCUGCUUUGACGUUACCGACAGAAUAAGCACCGGCUAACUCUGUGCCAGCAGCCGCGGUAAUACAGAGGGUGCAAGCGUUAAUCGGAAUUACUGGGCGUAAAGCGCGCGUAGGUGGUUUGUUAAGUUGGAUGUGAAAGCCCCGGGCUCAACCUGGGAACUGCAUCCAAAACUGGCAAGCUAGAGUACGGUAGAGGGUGGUGGAAUUUCCUGUGUAGCGGUGAAAUGCGUAGAUAUAGGAAGGAACACCAGUGGCGAAGGCGACCACCUGGACUGAUACUGACACUGAGGUGCGAAAGCGUGGGGAGCAAA